rnacentral:rRNA from 1 species
ACUCCUACGGGAGGCAGCAGUGGGGAAUAAUGGACAAUGGGCGAAAGCCUGAUCCUGCUACACCGCGUGAAUGAAGAAGGCCUUAGGGUUGUAAAAUUCUUUUAGUGGGGAAGAUAAUGACGGUACCCACAGAAAUAGCACCGGCUAACUUCGUGCCAGCAGC